rnacentral:lncRNA from 1 species
AUGCAGCCGCUGCCUGGGAACGCUCCCAGUCCCGCACGACUGCCCCUCCGCCCGCGGGGGUCUCUGGGCUCCGCGCUGCUCCCGGGGUGCGGAGGGACUCGGGAGGGGGCGGGUUCACUCGAGCCAGAAAGCCCGGAGCCGCCCAGGAAUUUUGGCUCGGGCUGGGAGCAUUUCCUCCCGGGCUGGCCCGGCGCGAUCCCGCGGAGGGCUGUCGCUGGCAGACGCGCACAGCGCUCGGUCCCGCCGGCAUCAUGCGGCCCCUGCUGUGCGCGCUGGCCGGGCUCGCCCUGCUCCGCGCCGCGGGCGCUCUGGCCGUACCCUAGGUUUCCUGUAUGUUCAGAGUGCAAACUGCCUCAGCAGCCCCGGCCACCAGCUGAUCUGCCCCUGCAUUGACGGAAGGGAAACUAAUGCAGGUAACCGAGGCAGGCUCUUCGUCAGGGCAGCUUUCUCGUGCCCUGAGUAAAAUCGGCACAGCAGACACUCACUGUGCUGGAGUGACAUCCAUAAGCGCUCAGAGCAGUCUGCAAGGCUCAUAGCAGGUCUAGAAAGUGACACAAGGGAGGGACCCCUUCCCUCCCCCAGAAAACGCAACACAAAUGCCCCUCCACUCCCAGCUCGCCCGUGGGAGGCUUAAGCCUCCUCCUCCAGCUUCAGCCAGGACAGCUGUCUGUAGAUUGGAGUUCCUCAUGCAAUCAUUUGAAUAUGCUUCAAAAUGACACUGAUGGUUUGGAUCAAAUCACAAGUGUUUAUGCAGACAGUGGAUGUGGUGAGUGCUAUUAUCCUAUGACAUCAAAUGCGGUCAACGGGAAGUAGGCCCCAGGUGGCCAGAGCUGCUGGCCAGCGCAGGGCGUGACUGGUGAUGCCGAGGUCUCCCGGCACCUUUCAGAUCGCACCCAGCACACAGAAAUCUUUUACGUUGCGGGCAUAUUCUUACUGGCCGGGUCCCAGACACAAAAGAUCUCCCCCUAAGACCUGGAAGCAGGAGGGGAGCCACAGAGGACAGGACCCAGGCCACGUCUCAAACUGGGGCAGCCAGCCCGGCGCCUCCCCCCGACCCCGGCCCCUGGGCUCCGCCCUGCAGUCUUCCCUCACCAGCGCCCAGUGCUGCUCCUCCACCCGUGGCCACUGUCCAGGGCGUACAUCAGGAGCCAGGGCAGAAACAACCCAGCACCAGGGAGGUCCGGGGUGGGGAGGGGAGGCUGGGGAGCCUCGGGCUUAGCUGCUCAGGGUCCGUCCUAGUAAUCCUUCCGCCGCUGCCAUUCCUCUUGUUUCCUGACAGCCUCGUGUGUGUGUGCACGCACGUGCAUGGGGAAGGCCCCCAGUUACGGUCUUGCUGGAAUUUCUGGU